GCAAGCUUUUUUCUCUCUCCAAAACGUGCUGUCAGUGUGUUCUAAUUUACUCUGUAAGGAAUUCUGGAGCUAAUCAUAGGCUCACAAAAAGCAGCACAGGAAAGUUUCCCAGAUAACAUCUAUUUCAGUGGCUUUCAAACAUUUUUGACCUUACCAAAGUAAGAAAUACAUUUUAAUAUCAUGGCACACAUACAGCUGUAUCUAAACUUUCAUAAUACUGCCUUUACGAUAUCACUCUGAUAUUGUCUAUUCUUUUCUGUUUAUUUUUCUUUUUGUUCCUUGUUAUGCUGGUUGUGACCCACUCCAGUGAUUUCACAAUGCAGGCUGGGUGGUGUCCCACAGUUUGAAAUCCCAAUCUAGGGCCUUCCUCUCACUGUACAAAGUAGGUAACUGGGGACAUUAGUGGAUCAGUGAUCAAACCAAAGUUAUUUGAUCUUACCAAGUGAUAUCAGGAUGAGAAAGCUGUUAGAGUGUCAGAUAUGUGAAGGAACUUGGGUCAUUCCUGAUACCUCAAAGAGAAAAAAGGUAGUCCUUGAACACCUCCUACUUGUAAAGGAUGCACAAUCCUACAUGCCCCUCCCUUUCCUUUCCUCCCCUCUGUACCCCACCCCUGCCCACAUUUUCUUCAUAAGCAGCUUUGGUGUUUUGGCUUGUUUGUUUCCCUUGUCUCCUACCUGUGACUUUAUAGCCUUUUGGAGACUCACAGCAAUAGUUGUAUUUAAACUCACUGAUUUGGGAUGUUAAUUACAUCUGCACAACUUCAACUUUGCCAUAUAACCUAACCAUGGGACUGAUAUUUAUCAUGCAUUUGGGUCAAGUUGCAUUAAGAGAUAUAAUAAAGCUGGACAAGCUUCUGUUGAUUAGAAGAGUUCAGUUACAAGGCUACACUUGGGAGGAAUGUUUACAAACUGGAAUGGUCAGAGGAUGGGGAAGACACUUGAGAAAAGUCAAGUGACGGAUGAAGGCAAAUGUGGAUAUUUAUCUGGGAGAAAACUAAGAGGAGUUAUAAUAGCUGUCUUCAAAU
rnacentral:lncRNA from 1 species